rnacentral:rRNA from 1 species
UUAAGUUAUUAAGGGCGCACGGUGGAUGCCUUGGCACUAGAAGCCGAUGAAGGACGUUACUAACGACGAUAUGCUUUGGGGAGCUGUAAGUAAGCUUUGAUCCAGAGAUUUCCGAAUGGGGAAACCCAGCAUGAGUUAUGUCAUGUUAUCGAUAUGUGAAUACAUAGCAUAUCAGAAGGCACACCCGGAGAACUGAAACAUCUUAGUACCCGGAGGAAGAGAAAGAAAAUUCGAUUCCCUUAGUAGCGGCGAGCGAAACGGGAAGAGCCCAAACCAACAAGCUUGCUUGUUGGGGUUGUAGGACACUCUAUACGGAGUUACAAAGGACGACAUUAGACGAAUCAUCUGGAAAGAUGAAUCAAAGAAGGUAAUAAUCCUGUAGUCGAAAAUGUUGUCUCUCUUGAGUGGAUCCUGAGUACGACGGAGCACGUGAAAUUCCGUCGGAAUCUGGGAGGACCAUCUCCUAAGGCUAAAUACUCUCUAGUGACCGAUAGUGAACCAGUACCGUGAGGGAAAGGUGAAAAGCACCCCGGAAGGGGAGUGAAAUAGAACCUGAAACCGUGUGCUUACAAGUAGUCAGAGCCCGUUAAUGGGUGAUGGCGUGCCUUUUGUAGAAUGAACCGGCGAGUUACGAUUUGAUGCAAGGUUAAGCAGUAAAUGUGGAGCCGUAGCGAAAGCGGGUCUGAAUAGGGCGUUUAGUAUUUGGUCGUAGACCCGAAACCAGGUGAUCUACCCUUGGUCAGGUUGAAGUUCAGGUAACACUGAAUGGAGGACCGAACCGACUUACGUUGAAAAGUGAGCGGAUGAACUGAGGGUAGCGGAGAAAUUCCAAUCGAACCUGGAGAUAGCUGGUUCUCUCCGAAAUAGCUUUAGGGCUAGCCUCAAGUGAUGAUUAUUGGAGGUAGAGCACUGUUUGGACGAGGGGCCCCUCUCGGGUUACCGAAUUCAGACAAACUCCGAAUGCCAAUUAAUUUAACUUGGGAGUCAGAACAUGGGUGAUAAGGUCCGUGUUCGAAAGGGAAACAGCCCAGACCACCAGCUAAGGUCCCAAAAUAUAUGUUAAGUGGAAAAGGAUGUGGCGUUGCCCAGACAACUAGGAUGUUGGCUUAGAAGCAGCCAUCAUUUAAAGAGUGCGUAAUAGCUCACUAGUCGAGUGACACUGCGCCGAAAAUGUACCGGGGCUAAACAUAUUACCGAAGCUGUGGAUUGUCCUUUGGACAAUGGUAGGAGAGCGUUCUAAGGGCGUUGAAGCAUGAUCGUAAGGACAUGUGGAGCGCUUAGAAGUGAGAAUGCCGGUGUGAGUAGCGAAAGACGGGUGAGAAUCCCGUCCACCGAUUGACUAAGGUUUCCAGAGGAAGGCUCGUCCGCUCUGGGUUAGUCGGGUCCUAAGCUGAGGCCGACAGGCGUAGGCGAUGGAUAACAGGUUGAUAUUCCUGUACCACCUAUAAUCGUUUUAAUCGAUGGGGGGACGCAGUAGGAUAGGCGAAGCGUGCGAUUGGAUUGCACGUCUAAGCAGUAAGGCUGAGUAUUAGGCAAAUCCGGUACUCGUUAAGGCUGAGCUGUGAUGGGGAGAAGACAUUGAGUCUUCGAGUCGUUGAUUUCACACUGCCGAGAAAAGCCUCUAGAUAGAAAAUAGGUGCCCGUACCGCAAACCGACACAGGUAGUCAAGAUGAGAAUUCUAAGGUGAGCGAGCGAACUCUCGUUAAGGAACUCGGCAAAAUGACCCCGUAACUUCGGGAGAAGGGGUGCUCUUUAGGGUUAACGCCCAGAAGAGCCGCAGUGAAUAGGCCCAAGCGACUGUUUAUCAAAAACACAGGUCUCUGCUAAACCGUAAGGUGAUGUAUAGGGGCUGACGCCUGCCCGGUGCUGGAAGGUUAAGAGGAGUGGUUAGCUUCUGCGAAGCUACGAAUCGAAGCCCCAGUAAACGGCGGCCGUAACUAUAACGGUCCUAAGGUAGCGAAAUUCCUUGUCGGGUAAGUUCCGACCCGCACGAAAGGCGUAACGAUUUGGGCACUGUCUCAACGAGAGACUCGGUGAAAUCAUAGUACCUGUGAAGAUGCAGGUUACCCGCGACAGGACGGAAAGACCCCGUGGAGCUUUACUGUAGCCUGAUAUUGAAAUUCGGCACAGCUUGUACAGGAUAGGUAGGAGCCUUUGAAACGUGAGCGCUAGCUUACGUGGAGGCGCUGGUGGGAUACUACCCUAGCUGUGUUGGCUUUCUAACCCGCACCACUUAUCGUGGUGGGAGACAGUGUCAAGCGGGCAGUUUGACUGGGGCGGUCGCCUCCUAAAAGGUAACGGAGGCGCUCAAAGGUUCCCUCAGAAUGGUUGGAAAUCAUUCAUAGAGUGUAAAGGCAUAAGGGAGCUUGACUGCGAGACCUACAAGUCGAGCAGGGUCGAAAGACGGACUUAGUGAUCCGGUGGUUCCGCAUGGAAGGGCCAUCGCUCAACGGAUAAAAGCUACCCCGGGGAUAACAGGCUUAUCUCCCCCAAGAGUUCACAUCGACGGGGAGGUUUGGCACCUCGAUGUCGGCUCAUCGCAUCCUGGGGCUGUAGUCGGUCCCAAGGGUUGGGCUGUUCGCCCAUUAAAGCGGUACGCGAGCUGGGUUCAGAACGUCGUGAGACAGUUCGGUCCCUAUCCGUCGUGGGCGUAGGAAAUUUGAGAGGAGCUGUCCUUAGUACGAGAGGACCGGGAUGGACAUACCUCUGGUGUACCAGUUGUCGUGCCAACGGCAUAGCUGGGUAGCUAUGUGUGGACGGGAUAAGUGCUGAAAGCAUCUAAGCAUGAAGCCCCCCUCAAGAUGAGAUUUCCCAACUUCGGUUAUAAGAUCCCUCAAAGAUGAUGAGGUUAAUAGGUUCGAGGUGGAAGCAUGGUGACAUGUGGAGCUGACGAAUACUAAUCGAUCGAAGACUUAAUCAA